ACCACACAAGAUAAACUCUAGUAAAACAGAAACUCUUGUAAUACAUUCAUUUCAUAAACAAAACCAAUCCGACUAUAAGACAAAUCCGAAUUGAAUAGUACAAACGCAAAGACCACUACAAAAGAGAUAUUGUCAAACUUUGGCCAUACUUAUGAGAAAAUCAAUGACAAAUUUUAGUACAAACACAAAGACUACUACAAAAGAGAUUGUCAAACUCUAGCCCUACUUUCUUCUGCGACCUAUGACUUGAUGAGAACCACCCACUUCAUUGAAAAAGGAAGGCCUCAAACUACCUGUAUAAUAAAACAUAGUCAUUGUAUAUAUAGAUGUACAAGAAAUCAAGUACAUAGGCAUUCCAUCAUUUGACUGAAUACAAAUAUACUAUAGAAGAUAUCAAUGAUCAUGAAUUGCUACAAAAACCUAAAAUUUAAGAAUAUGUAGUCCUAACCAAAGAUAUGAAGAUAGGAAGUAAAAUCAUAAACACUACCUCACAAGAGACAAGCACAAAGAACAAACCAUGACCGCUUGAGUAACCUCAACAAACACGAACAGAGAGCAGGGGUGAAACAAAGGAACCUUGACAACACCUUUGUCGGCUUGUGAAGUACAGUACUGCUGCCUCUGACAGCUUGCGUAAAAUCAGUUCAAAACAAAGAAUACCAUAAAAAAGUUUUCAUUGUUGUUAAAAUUUGGUUCCGACUAUGAAUCGUAUGCCCGAUUUUAACAAUAGAAUUCAACAAUAGAAAUAAUUAAACUAGACAUACAAUACAUACAUACUCAAGUUGUCUCUAAGAAAAAGAGGUAAUUACUAGAUAAUUCUAUCUAGUAAAGCAUAAUUGGAAAGUAACAAGAAAAAUGGGUGAGAUCAUUGAUUGUAGUUAUCAAACUAAUAGAACCUACAUAACAAACCUUAGCUAAACAAUUAUAGCAUCACCGACAUGGCCCCAGUCUGACUUGUUGUUUACCUGAACAUUCAGAAAGCAAGAGAACCAAAAUGUUAUGAAUUAAGACUUGUCAAUAGGAGAGAGUUCAUACAAGGCUUCCAUUUCAUAAUAAUGUCCACAAUUUUGACAUAGCAACAAAGUCAGAUAACAUUUGAAGUAAUAGCUAUUGAAUUGGACAAUUAGCAUUCCAUUCAUUCAAUACAAUAGAUCAUGAUGAACAAUAGAUUUUAAUUUAUUAAAUUUUAAAAACACUCUUUAAUUUUAUCGGAUGUCCCCUAAGGGACAAAACACUCUUUAAUUUAUUAUCAAUAAACAGGAACAAUAGGCAACUCAACUCAAAAUGCCUUAUUAAGAUGCAACCUUUCUUAUUUUGUUUCCCAAAUUGAUUUUGUGCUUAAUAUGGUUGUCUGGAGCCUAAAAAGAUCAAUGCCAAAUAUGCUAUCUUUGUUGAAAAUUGUUCAUAUUGAACAAAAAUAUACUGGUAGUAUAAUAAAAGGCAAAAUAUGAAACUUGCUAGUUGAAACUUGGUACAUAAUACCACGAAACAAUAUAGAUUUAAGUAAUUAAAACUUGUAUAUGAAUGAUUUACAAGGUCAUGAUGUAUGUGUCUU
rnacentral:lncRNA from 1 species